CUCCCGCCGGCGACCGGCGCACGGGUGAGUAACACGUAUCCAACCUGCCGAUGACUCGGGGAUAGCCUUUCGAAAGAAAGAUUAAUACCCGAUGGCAUAGUUCUUCCGCAUGGUAGAACUAUUAAAGAAUUUCGGUCAUCGAUGGGGAUGCGUUCCAUUAGCUUGUUGGCGGGGUAACGGCCCACCAAGGCAUCGAUGGAUAGGGGUUCUGAGAGGAAGGUCCCCCACAUUGGAACUGAGACACGGUCCAAACUCCUACGGAAGGCAGCAG
rnacentral:rRNA from 1 species